UGUAGAGUGAAAGAGAAUGUAUAUUCUCUUAUUGUGAUAGAACUGAAAUUUGGUUGGCCGUAACAAUACAUCGACAUACUGGUAUAGGCAUGCCUCCUUUAAUAUUGCUGCUAUUUAAAAACACAAGUAAUCGCUUAACAACUUGCAAUUUUCUGUUCCUCUUAUAUAAUAUUCAUGAUGUGGCAAAUAAAACACUCGAUGCUAGACAAUCUUCAUUACAAACAUCGAAAAAACACCUAUUAUAUGCAUAUGGGUACGCACAUAUAUUGAAUAAUAUAGAAUAAUUCGAUGCACUAACUACUACCAAUAUAUGUAUGUAUGUAUGUAGCCUGGUUAGAGAGCUACAAACAAUAUUUUAGUCAUACCAGUUACAAAUAACGCAAUUGUUAUAAUUUUUUCUAUUUAAACUUAGGUAGCACAGUGCAAAUUGGCACCAUUUUUCUAACUUAUCUCGUCUUAGCAACAACGUAAUAUAUUACAUUAUAUAGAGUUAUAGAUUAUUUCUAAAAGAUCACGAACUGGGCUAUACAAAACCAUAAAAAGUUUUAAAAACAGAAUACGAUGAAGCAUUAAAUUAAAUGAAAUCAGAGAAAAAGGAUCGCUCUUAGGUUAGGUUAGUGGCUGCCUUUCGACCCAAUACUUAAAGGAUCGCUCUUGAUCAAUGAAAAAACAUUUGCGCCUUCCAAUUAUUUUUAAGGAGCUUUUAAGAGACAAUUUUCGUGAUUUUUUAUAGAAAGUACUCGAUCGAAUGUUUCGAAGUUGUUUGGUAUAGUUUAAGGUUUUUUAUUACAAAUAUAUUGAAAAAUAACUGAGUUAUAUGCUGUCUUCGGUGGUGCAAAAAAUGUUCCCCAAUUGCUGCAAUGUUGAGUAGCUGAAUCAAAAAAUUCAAAAAUUUUAUUAAAGUGGGGUGUCAAAAAUUAACAAAAUGGCAUAGUUAUGAAAAAUUUUAAUUUUUUUAGAUAAAAAAAAUUCUCAAUUUUUUAAUGCAAAGUUGACAGUUUUCAACCAAAAUAGAUCAUUGGAAAGUAAAUGUAAACAAGAAAACUCAGUUUCAAUUUAAAGUCGAUCGCCAGUCGUUGCCAAUUCUUAAGGGACCAUAAAUCUUCCGCAAAACCUUUCUCUUGAAAACUCCUAGUGCCGUCUCAUCGGAUGUUGACAUCGUCCACGCUUCUGCACCGUAAAGUAGGACGGGAAUGAUGAGAGACUUGUAGAGUUUGGUUUUUGUUCGUCGAGAGAGGACUUUACUUUUCAAUUGCCUACUUAGUCCAUAGUAGCACCUGUUGGCAUGAGUGAUUCUGCGUUGGAUUUCCAGGCUGACAUUGUUAUUGCUAUUAAUGCUGGUUCCCAGGUAGACGAAAUUAUCUACAACUUCAAAGUUAUGACUGUCAACAGUGACGUGGGAGCCAAGACGCGAAUGCGCUGACUGUUUGUUUGAUGACAGGAGAUAUUUCGUCUUGUCCUCGUUCACCACCAGACCCAUACGCUUCGCCUCCUUAUCCAGUCUGGAAAAAGCAGAACUAACGUGUUGUUUCCGAUGAUAUCGAUAUCAUCGUCGUACGCCAGUAGCUGUACACUCUUGUAGAAGAUUGUACCUUCUCUAUUUAGCUCUGCAGCUCUUAUAAUUUUUUCCAGCAUCCAAGUUAAAGAAGUCGCACGAUAGUGAGUCACCUUGUCUGAAACCUCGUUUGGUAUCGAACGGCUCGGAGAGGUCCUUCCCGAUCCUGACGGAGCUUUUGGUGUUGCUCAACGUCAGCUUACACAGCCGUAUUAGUUUUGCGGGUAUACUAAAUUCAGACAUCGCGGCAUAAAGGCAGCUCCUUUUCGUGCUGUCGAAAGCAGCUUUAAAAUCGACAAAAAGGUGAUGUGUGUCGAUCCUAUUUUCACGGGUCUUCUCCAAAAUUUGGCGCAUGGUGAAUAUCUGGUCUGUUGUUGAUUUUCCAGGUCUAAAGCCACACUGAUAAGGUCCAAUCAGUUUGUUGACGAAUAAUUGUUAAGAAUAAACUAUAGCGGUUUAUACCUAAGCGGUUGCUGUUUUGGAACGCUGCCAUUCAAAAACUAUUCAAGGUACGACCUGGUCGAUUUCACAUGAUGUUAAAAAAAAAGAUUAUUAUUCAAUAGUUUAAUAAUAAUCGAUUUUUUGAAAGGGUAACACUGGUAUAGCCCCUUAAAUAUGUAAAUUAAAUUCGUGCGCAGUUUGAUUUCAGUAUCUUUUUUGUCGCUCCAACCAAAGGAAAACUUCCAAACAAGUAUGUUAGGCUAACGAGGUCAACCCAUGUGACGGCCCGUUUUUUAGCGAUUUUUUAGAAUCCACUACCAGUCAACAACGCAUAAAGAGCUUUAAGUUUAUUAUCAUUUAUUAAUGUAUAAUUCGACAGUAUAAUUACAAAUUUUAAGCUGAAAAUAUAUUCCAGCGUUCUGAACACCACCGCCUCGAAAAUUCCUACAAGAUAUCGACUGAUUGGCUUAUCGGAAACAAAUAAAAUUAACGGCUUUUUAUUCUGUAAGCUUAAAACCAUUUUAUAAACCGAAUUUUUUUUUUAGUGUUUUGUUACAAAAAAUCGAAUUUUUGGGAAUGUUUGAUUGAUAAAAGCCAUUUCACAUGUGCUGAGUGUACCCUAGAAAUUUCAAGUCAUUCGGUCAAGCUGUUUUUGAGAUGAAGGUUUGAACAAUACAGUUUUGAGAAAAACGAAGUUUCCAAAGUUUCCAGCUGCCAACUCAACGCCUCGAACAGCUCCUUCUUCUAACAGCUGUAUCUUUAUACUUCAAAUAUAAAGAAAUCACUUUAAUACCGUAUUCUCGACAUGUUCAGAAACCAAUUAAAGGUACAAAAAACUCAAUUUUUGAGCUCAUCGCAAGGGAUAGCCCCCUUAUGUGGCUGUCUGUCGACGCAUCUAGGCCUUUGGUAAACUACUAAAUAAGAAAUAAGUUUUAUAUAUAUAUCGUUAAAUGCUUAGACAAUAUCAACCAUACUUACUAGAGACAUUUCCUUCUAGCACCUUAUUGUAUGUUGCUAAAGUGGUUGAAGACGGAUUAUAAUGCCGCUCACCUCUCGUAGAAUGGUUUGUUGAAAAUCACUAAAAAAUAGCUUUUUUCACUUUUGUGUCAAGAACAAUUUCUCAGAUACCACUUGGCUGAUUUCAAAUCAUAAUAAUUUUAUUGAUAUCCCAGCAUUCGGUGAACUUUAUACUGUAUAUAGCGGAUCAAAUUGAAUGGGAGAUAUCUUUGCAAAAUUAUGUGAACGGAUAAUAUUGGAUAUAAUGACACAGCAUCAUAUAUAAUAAGCUAUUGAAUUAGUUUAAGUUUCAGAUGAAACAUAUGAGCACCCAGUGCUCUUUCAUUUCAAUAAAUUGUGCCAUCAAGUUACCUUAUAUUCAAGAUUUUGCAUUCACCUAAUUUUGGUAAGAAAUAUCAUAUAUGUAUACGAUAUAUGUAUACGUUAUAAAGUCUACCAGAAGUUGGAAAAUCCCUAUAUAAGGUAUAUGGAGGCUAUAGAAAGUAUUGAGCUGAUUUUGCACUUGCUUGGCACAUAAGCAUACCAUUACAAAGAAAAAAUCUCCACUUUAUUUCUUUGGAUUAGCUGAGAUUUACCGAUAUUUUGCUUAAAAACAAUAGCCGCAAGCACUGACGGCCUCAUAUUCGUUAUCUGGGGUCUUGAAAAGUUAUCGUCCGACUUGGGCGAUUUUUAGACGGUUUGCCGGGAAUUUUCAACAAAAUAAUGCCGAUAUGAUCUUUUUGUAAAUACUCUACAUUAUAAUGACCUACCAAAAUACUACACAUGGAAUGCAUCGGCUAAAAAGUUUCAACAACGCAAACAAGGCAAAGAAGUUGAAAGACAUCCCGAUUAGUAUUUCAGUCACACAUUGGGACGUCUGUACACGGUUCACCCAAACAAUAUCGAAUGCUUCUGUCUGCGAUUGCUGUUAAUCAAUGUACGAGGACCGACAGCUUCCAAGAUUUAAGGUCAGCUGUGUGCAACUUAUUGCUAAGUUUGUCACAAACUAAAUCUUCUUGAGAAUGAUGCUAAUUGGGACACCACACUUACUGACGAAUCGAAUACUGCUCGACCACAGCAAAUACGCACUUUCUUGCUAUGCUAUUGACAAUCUGCUUCCCAACUAAUCCAAAGGGCUUUGGGGCAAAUACAAGGGCUUCAUGAGUGCAUUUAUUCUACAACGGGAUGCCUGCUUCGAACCGACCAGAUAAGGACCCUUUCGAUAGUGAUUAGCAACGCGAAACACUCUUUGAUUCUGAUGACAGUUGUUCAGACAAAUCUUCCACAGUUGGUUCCACAAUAAUCAACAUCCGCUGAUGAACUUAAUGCAUGUUUCAAAUCUUCAGUUUAAUGGCGCCGUUUACAGCAUGCCCGCACAACAACAAAUUCAGUUGGAAAUUUCGUGGUUACUCCAGUCUCCUCAAAAGCUAAACGUUAAAACCUACCAAAUCACCUGAGUAACGGAGUAGAAGUCUUCCUGAUCCUCUGCUUCCAACAUUGCACACAUAAUACAAUCUCCUCCAUGAUUAACAGUAUUAUUUAGAGUUUGGUUUUUAAAAGCGCUUCUCCUUUCGCCAUACAAAUCGACGAUUAUCAGAUCAAAUUAAAUGCAAUUUGUACUCAUUUGUAAAAUUUACUGAAUCUAAAGUUUGUUAUUACGUUGGAUAUAGUCUUUGGUGUAGUAAACGUUUCGCAACAUUUCUCUUCGAUAAGUUGGGCUUGUUACGUGAUGUCUACAGUACAAGUAAGUGUACAAGUUUUUUUGGUUCACUGUAUGCCUAUGUCGUCGUAUUACUUAUACAACUCGUCGUUCCAUGUUCUACGGUAUUUGCUAUCUCUUAGCAGUACCACCUCUAUUUAGCUGACGAAGCCUUUGGUGUUGCUCAACGUGAGUAAUACAUACGUUAUAGUUUUGCAGAAAUACCAAAUUCAGACGUAGAGGCAACUCUGCUCGUGCCAUCGAAGACAACUUUAAAAUUGAGUCUUUUCCAAGAUUUGGAUAGUAAAUAUUUGGUCCAUGACGGAUUUUCCAAGUCUAAAACCACACUGAUAAAGUCCAAUAAGUUCGAUGAGGAUGGGCUUUGCUCUUUCACACAGUACGCUCUACAGGACCUUAUAAACGAUAUUAAAGAGGCUUAUCCCACGGUAAAUGGCGCAGAUUGUGGGGCCUCUCUUUUUAUGAAUUGGGUAGAGAACACUAAAGUUACAAUCAUGGGGCAUGCCUUCACCUAACCAUAUUCUGCAAAGAAGCUGAUGCAUUAUCAGUUCUCCGUAUUUAAAUAGGUCGGCUGGCAAUCCGUAGGCCUCCGCUGCUUUGUUCCUCAAGCGGGUAUUUGAUAUUCGAAUUUCUUUAAGGUUGAAAUAUCGAUUCUAUCGUCAUCGAUUACAGAUGAUCGAUAAUUUUUUGCUGCACAGAGGCGGGUGCGUAUUUUUGCGGCUACCAUAAUGACGGUGAUGUCAGAGUUUAGUUGCAUGAGGACAAAAACCAACUGAGUGUUCCGUCAUAUACAAUAAAAGCUAUAAAAGUAACUUUUGAUAAAAAGUUUAUUUUCAUGUGUUAAUCUUAACCGCGCCGAUCAUAUCGACGAUGGAGUACACUCUAUAAAUGCAGUAUUUGUGCAAAGUUCUAUUUCAAUAUCUCCGCUGGUGCUUAAUUUAUAGAUUGUAAAGUAAACGACUAAAAUGGUCUUCAAAAUUGUGGUGUAUUGCAAGCAGGCGUGGUUGUGAAUCGAUUUCGUCCAUUUAAAAACUUUAAUAUUGGCAUGCCAACGAAAUGUUCUGGACCGAAUUUCGUUGACAUUGGUCAAGGAGUUUCUGAAAUAGGAUCAGGUUCCCAAACUUGAACCAAACUUACUAGACACAUUUCCCUUUAGUACUCCAUCAUACACCAUAAAAACUGGUGAAAUCGGAUAAUAACCCCGCCCACCUAUCAUACAAAGGUUAUGUUGAAAAGUACUAAAAGCGCGUUCACUCAUUAACAAAAAUCGUCAGAAACACUAAAAAAGAAAAUAUGAACGGCUGAUUGGUAAAAAAAAAUAGAAACAACUUUAGGAUUUUAAACCAUAUCUCAGGAACUACUCGGUCGAUUUCAUUGAAAUUUGACACAUUAUAUUUUCUUGAUAUUCUGAUAUUACUGAUGGAAAUAGGUUCACAACCACGCCUUCUUGCCAUAUAAUACAAUUUGGAAUUCCAUCAGAUUCGCUCACUUUGUACUCACUUACUUAAAUUGUCGAAAUCGGACCAUACAUUUUUAAGGCCUCUUAUAUUGAACAUGAAGAAUGUAAUUCUUAAGGAUAAUUUUUUAACAGUUGCCGAUUUGAUUAAAUCGAAAUGAUUUUGAGAAACUUGGUACACGUGUUCCGUGGCACCAUAAGAAGAUGGGUACUGUAGAUGUAAAAUAUGUAAUGUUAAUAUUCGUGGGAAAGCCACGCAUAUAUGUCUCGUAAACUACCUCAUCUAUAUCAACCAAACUUCGUGGAGACUUGUUCUUUAAGCACCUUAUUAUACCAAAUGAAAAUGGAAAAAAAUCGGAAUCUUAUCUUGAAAACAGCAAAAGUGCGUAAACUUACCAACGAAAAAAACUAGAAAUCCAAAAUUUUAUGGAGUAGAGCUUUAUUUAGAUUCAUAGAAAAUAUGAACAAAAUCAUAUUUCCAGAACUACCGGACCAAUUUCCAAGAAAUUCGGUUUAAAACAUUUCUUUGUAACCCAAAAGUUACUGUUUAAAAAUGGACGAACUCGACUGAGAACCAUAUCUAUUUCCCAUUUCAUUCUGAUUCGUUCCCAUUACAAUAUAUAAAUAAAGCGCCAGUGAAAAUAUCGGAACAAAACUUUGCACACAUACUGAAUUCAUGAUGUACCAUCGCCUGGACGAAAAUUGCCGACAUCGGACUAUAAAUUUACAAGGGCCCAAACAUGAGGACCUAAUCGCUGGUGGCUAAUUUUUUACUGAAAAAAUAGGUAAAUCUUUUAGACAUUCUAAAGAAAUUCAGAGGAGAUAUUUUUUUAUCUUUUGUGCCAAAGAUGUGAACAAUUAGGCAAUUACUUCCUCUAGCUCCUUCAUACCUCAUAUACGGAUUUUCACACUUCCAGUGGACUUUAUACGAUAUAAAACUAUAGGUAUAGGAUAUAUUGGUGCUAGGGGAAAUGCUGGAUUUACUGUAAUUGGCUUUGGUAUUCAAAUAAUGUAUGGUUGGGACAUGUAACUAAUACAUUGAUGUGAAAUCCACUAAAAUAAAGAAAAGUUUUCAACUUAAUAUAAGGGGGCUGGGAUAAUCCAUGGAUCGGGUCACAUUAUACCAGGAAAAGUUAAUUUCACUUCAUUCUAUUAACAUAGUUUGCUUAUUUAAAGAUAUUUUUAGUAAAGCAUGCAAGGCAGCAUUGGCUACAAAUAAACUUUGAAAAGCUAUUCAAUUUCGACUAUUUUCAGCUGAGAGGUGCGUUACUGUGAAUAUAAUAUUUCUACUAAGUUGUAUUCCGAUAUCUACAUUGGUGCUUCAUAUAAAUAUCGCAAAUUUAAAGAAAAUAUAUCAUUAUAAUUGCGCUAUAUGGAAAGUAGGUGUUGUUAUAAAUGCGAUAAGGUCCUUUAAUAUAACAUACACUAUCGGACAAAAUAAAGUGCUAACGUGCUUUAAGUUUAAAGCAAUUAACAGAAACUGUUGUACUUAUGUAUAUUGUCUUACACAUUAUUUUGUCAGAUGAGUCGAAAUUGAAGUUUAAGAAAAAGCAGUCGUAAACGGGUGUGCCGUGAGUUCUUUAAGUUGAAAAACUGUUUACAAUUGACUGAAAAAGCUCUAUUAUGAUGUGUUAAAGGAAAUCCUUUUCUAAAAGAACUGAGGAAAUAGGCUUGAGUGAUUAUAUCUGCCAAGAGCAUAAUGAUCUCAACCCCAAGAGCAGGAUAUCACUGAUAUUUUUUAUUGAAAUAGCGUUUGAUUAAUUGGACUGACCCACUCAAAAUCUCAAUUCAAAUCUAAUAAAGUAUCUUUGGACUAUUUUGGGCUGAAAAAUUCCUUUUGAGGGACAGGUUAACAUAAACAAUUUAUGUUAAAGGCGAAAAAUCCAAAGAAUACAUUAAAAAACUUAACUGCAAGUAUGCCAAAAAGGUCAUAAAAAAUAAAAGAGGAUAUUCCAAGUAAUCAAAAUUCCAAGUAAGAAACAUUUUUGUUUGAAUAUUUAAUGAAAUCAAGAACAAUUUCUAUAUUUGCACUUUAUUUUGUCCAAUGUAAAUGUAAGUAAGUUCGGCUAAUAAUUUUAUUCCUGUGUAUAGUUUAAGAAUUUUUAUACUCUCGCAACAAAAGUUGCUAAAGAGAGUAUUAUAGUUUUGUUCACAUAACGGUUGUUUGUAACACCCAAAACUAAACGAGUCAGAUAUAGGGUUAUAUAUACCAAAGUGAUCAGGGUGAAGAGUGUAGUUCAAAUGCGAAUGUCUGUCUGUCCGUCCGUCCGUCUGUGCAAGCUGUAACUUGAGUAAAAAUAAAGAUAUCUUGAUGAAACUUGGCACACUUAUUUCUUGGCACCAUAAGGAAGGUUGCUUUCGAAAAUGAGCAAAAUCGGACCACUGUCACGCCCACAAAUAUAAUACUAACUAACCAUAACUAAGCCGUAAAUAAAGCUAUUAAAAUAAAAUUUGGUAUGAAGGAUCGCACUAUGAAGGGGCAUAUUUGGAUGUAAUUUUUUUGGGGAAGUGGGCGUGGCCCCGCCCCCAAAUAGGUUUUUUGUACUUAUCUCGCAAACCAAUAGAGUUAUAUAAAUUAAACUUUCUGCAGUCGUUUUUUUUAGCCACUUCCUAAAACAGUCCAAAAAUGAAAGAAAUCGGAUAAUAACCACGCCCACCCCCCAUACAAAGGUUAGGUUGAAAAUUACUAAAAGUGGGUUAACUCACUAACCAAAAACGUCAGAAACACUAAAUUUCACAUAAGAAAUGGCAGAUCGAAGCUACACUCAGAUUUUUUUACAAAAUGGAAAAUGGGCGUGGCGUCGCCCACUUAUGGGUCAAAAACCAUACCUCAGGAACUACUCGACAGAUUUCAAUGAAACUUGGUUUGUAAUAGUUUCCUUAUAUCCCAAUGAUAUGUUGUGAAAAUAGGCCAAAUCGCUUCACAACCACGCCUACUUCCUAUAUACCAGAGCUUUGAAGACGAUCUGAAUCGUUUACUGUACAAUAUAUAAAGUAAGCACUAAUGAAGAUAUCGGUGCAGAGCUUUGCACAAAUACUAUGUUUAUAGUGUGGCAGCCCCAUUCUAAAAAUCGCCGAAAUCGGACCAUAGGUUUUUAAGGCCCCAUAUAUCGAACACGAGGGCAUCGGUGCUUCUAACCUAAUAUUAUGGUUUCCAACUUUCAAUGGACUUUAUGCACUAUAUAUGACGAAUAUAUGGGUCAAAUUGUAUAUUAUUAAUAUAAAUAAAGUUAAAUAAAUAAAUUGCGAGAAUAUAAAAUGUUCGGUUACACCCGAAUUUAGACCUUCCUUACUUGUUUUUAUUACCUUUAUUAUUUAUUUAAAUUCUUUCGAAAUGAAGUAAAAAUUGUCACGUACACAUGAUAUUAGUGCUUAAGUUUUGCACUUUAUUUUGUCCGAUAGUGUAUAUUCGGUUCAAAGCCAUCCGCCAAAUUACAACAGUAAUUUCCUUAAAGACAAGAGUUUCCACACAAAAGGAAAUUAAUGGACACUUAUCUACAAUUAGCAAGUUUUGUUUGACUUUUUGAUGUGCAAAUUAUUAUGUGUGACAAAUGUGAUAGUGACAUUGUUUUGAAAGCAUUUGGUCAUACAAGCCUUCAAAGUACGCAAAGACAACAAAAUCAAGUAAAGCCUGCCAUCAUUGGGCCUGGACCUUUACUCUUACUCGAGCCCAGCUAUCGAUGGACCAUUAGCAUUUAUGUCAUGAGCAACGUACAUCAUGCUACGCAGCAUAUAACGUCUGAAAUUACUGCUUAAACCUUAUAGAUGGAGUCUCAUUCCUACUGGAAGUCAAGUUUGACAUUCGAACAGUCUUGCUAACGACAUCAUUUGGAAGAAAGAACAGAAUUACUCGAAAUCGGCGCAUUAUUCUGCCAUUCAAGAGCGAUUCAACGGUAAAAUGAGCUGAUUACUGUUCAAUAGAAAGAUUGGUAGUGACUUUGAUCCACAUAACAGAGACUUGGAACAUGAUUCAUUGUCACUCUUAGGUGGUUGAUUUUGCUGAUGGUAAAAUAACAUUAAACGGAAUACUAACAAGUGUCAUAACUAAAGAAGGGAUUUAGUAUGGAGGAAAGCGCAAAAUCAGACAUCAACUGCGUCAACUUUCCAUAAAAAGUUAUUCAAAGUAGUCAUAUUUUGUAGGCAUAUUGUGAUUUGAUGCUUAAAAUAUAUAAUUUUAUAAUAUUUAUACAUAUAUGUACCAAUAUAAAAUCGUUUGGUACCAUCCCCUGAACUCUAGAUUCUAAGAAUAAUGAUUCCUUCCUCUUUUACCUUUGUAUUUAUACUCUGUAGGCAGACUGAGUGGUUAAAUAAGGUUGCAGCAGAUUAUUUUGUUCUCUCGCAAUUUAUUUAUUUAAAAGAUAACUUACAAUUUGAACCAUAUACAUAUAUUCCUGGACCGAUUUCAUUCACAUUAUACAUAUAUAAAAACUUACAUUAAUUUUGCGAAGAUAUCACACAUUAUAUAUACGGUAUUCAAGCUACCGGAAGUUUAGACAGCAUUAUAUUAGGUAUAAUGAAGCUAGGCGGAAUAAUUAUGGAGGUAUUAAAAUUAUAUAUAAGCGCUCGUGUUCGGUAACUGGUGCCUAUAAAACUAAUCCGAUUUGAACAAUUGUUAGAUGAGUGGCCCACACUACCAAUUUAGUACUGGUGCAAAGUUUUAUUUCGAUAUUUUUAUGAUAUAUGAUCUAGUUGGAAUUUAAAAUUGUGUUAUAUGUAGAAAUGGUUCCGUACGCAAGAUCAGUAUGUCAAGGAAAUAUUAUAUAUACAUUUUUAUUGAAAUUGGUGAAGUAGUUCUUGAGAUACGGACAUACGGACGGACUGACAGGCAAACCUUCGAAUUUUAAACAUCUUUUGCUAUAUAUAUUACCGACGGACAUGUGGACGGACGGACAGGCAGACCUUCGAAUUUCAUAUAUCUCGUCAUACUGAUUCAUUCGAUAUUUUUAAUACUUAUAUCUAAUUUAGCCUUCUCUCCUUCCUGUUUAAGCUUAGUUCUGAUUAUAAAAAUAACAAUAUGUGGCGUUUAACUAACUUCCUGUUCAUUUAAGAUUGCUAUCAACUGCUCUGUACUUGGUAUUAUUAUCAAAGUGUUUGACUGGGUUGGUUUGUUAUUAAAUAUACAAUAAAUAUUGGAACAGUGUUAUAGUUAUCACAAUACCAGUAUAACUUGCACCUGUUUGUGCAUACUUUCGUUUCGUUCAAACGUGCAAUCCUAUCGGAAGUUAUACCUGUCCUCAGUUGUAUCUACAUACUACUCCAGUUCUUAGUCAACUGCAAGUUUGUAUAGAAAGUAACAAUGAUUUGCCGCACAGUCUACUGGCUAAUGUGCCUAUUUGUCUCACUCGCUUAUGACUUAUAUGAUUCUUAAUAGUGCGCAUGCCUUAAAUAAUGGUACUUGGUUGUUGGUUAAUUUGAAUUAAAUUUUCUUGUGCCUGCCCAAUGUAGGAGUGUGUAAAUGGAAACGCAGCCCAUGCACUUGCGUUCCGGUUUCUCCAUAUGGGUAUUUCUGUUGCGGUUCUCUCCUAUUUGUUGAAUGGCAAACACUCAUAUUAUUUUUGUGUAUGCAAACAUUUCUAUGUAUGAUGUAUGCAUCGGCCUCCGUUGGGUGUAUGAGCAUAGGUGUCGUUAUGUGAAUACUACGUUCAGUUGUAUGUGCACCCAGCACAGAAAACACUGAACUUAGUUGCACGCAUUAGAAUUUUUCCCAUAUAUUCCGAUCCACAGGAAAAGAAUAGUCUAUUGUACUUAGCGAGCGCAACAAUAAUGUGGCAUACAGGGGCUAAGCCUAUGGUACAUGUGGUUAAGCAGGAGGAGACUAUUAUUCGCUUUUAAUCAGUUUCGAAUGUUUGCAAAGUGUGCUGAGUGUUUAUAAAUAAAUAUAGUACGGUAGCAUGACAAUAACCACACGGUAUGAAAUUAUCACUUGUAAAAAAGAGUAAACCUCAACUAAAUAAGCAGAAUAUACGCUCGAACUAAUUGAAAUCUUUCAAGGUGUCUUUCUAAAACGAUCGAUUAUUGAUGAUUCAAGAAAGUAUAUAUCUAAGAUCUAAUUGAGAGUCGUCAAAGAUUUAUAGAAAAUAUAUAAAGAAAUGUCAAUUUCCAGUGGCGUAAAGGUAUUUAGAGCUGGACGCAAUGAAGCACUAAGCUCUAAUAUAGGCCAACACUUGUUAAAAGUUGGUUUGGUGGUUGCUGCAAAUUUUUGAUAUAAAGGGAUUGUAUAUUCAAACAAAAUUAGCUUAGCUUUUCUUUAAAAGGGCUUUAACUUAGUCAUAAAUGAAGCUAUAGAAAUUGAAAUUUGGUACAGAGGAGCAUAUCAAAGAAUUCUCAAGAACUAAACAAGUUAGAUAUAGGGUUAUAUAUAUCAACUAGCAGACCCGGCCACACGUUGUUGUGGCUAAGGUAUACAUUAAAUUAAGUUGGUCCAAUCUUGGCUUCGGCGACGAUAUUGAUUACUCGAGGUCGAUUUAUGUUACGCAGCAUGAUGACAACUCACACUACUUUUAAUUGCAAAGUGAGUGGUGAUAGUACAGUCAAUUUUAAUUAUUUUUGGAUAAUUGACUACGUCAUCCUGGUUUGUAGCUGUGUCAACUCUCCUGGACCGAAAUUCUAAAUUGUCGCAUUAAUACCAUCGAUAUCUUUGUUUUUUUACCACCAAUAUAGGUCAUUCAAUCAGUCAUUUAUGGUUAUCAUAUUGAGGUUUCAUGUCAGGAAAACUUCUCUUUCAAGUCAAUGAAGUGACAGAAAUCUGUUGGAAAUGCUAUUAAUCCAUCGAGGUAUCAACUGCCAACUGCUUCUACAAUCGCAAUUUGAUAUUGUUGCAAAAACACUCAUAUGUUAGUUGUUAAUUGGCGAUACUUCAUGUGUCGCCACAAAUUCAGUGACUUUAGGCAUGCGAUUAGCCCUUCAGUAACAGUUGAUCCAGGAAUAAUUGGAAGAGUCUGGCGUAGAUCACCUGUUAACAGAAUCCUGGCUCCACCAAAAACGUUUAUCGACAAUCAAGAUCUUUUAAAGUCCUGUGCAGUACCUCCAGCGACUUCUUGAAUAUUUGGAAAAUCUUCGUUAUAGCGCUAUUUUUGGCGAUUUUACCGACUGGUGUUUCAUUCAUUUGCAAUUUAGGAGUAAUUUCAAGGCCGAAUGUGCCGUUUGUUUUCUUACUAACAGGUGCCUAUUCCCGUUAACCUUGGAAACCUUGGAACCUUGGCGAAAAUGAGUGAAAUUGGUUCUGGAAUUACAUCAGCCCUCAUAUAUUAUAUAUGAUGAUUUUCUAAUGGAGAUUAUGCCGAAAAUAUAAGUCAAAUUGUGUGUUAUCUUAAUAAAAUUACAUCAAUAAAUUGCGAGAGUAUAAAAUGUUCGGUUUGACCCGAACUUAACCUUUCCUUAUUUAUUACAAAUUGUUUUGGGCUAUCGACACAACCUUAUACAAUGGAACAAUGACAAAAAUAGUUUAACAAAGCAAUAAUGACAACCUUCAAAAUAUUAUUUUUUUGUUUUCUCUUUUUAUAUUUUUCUUGUCAACUCGAAUAAAAUUCUCUUAUUGAUAUCUUCCUCGCAAUUUUUCCAUAUUUACUCACUUUCUAAUCUUUUUCUGGCCUUCCACGAAUAUUUCAAGACUAAAAUUAGCCAGAACGGUUUGAAGUUCAACAACCAAUAACUUCCCGAUUUUAGAAAAUUUUUAAUUUUCUUCGCGGAAAGUUAAAAAAUUUUAGGGGUGGACCACCCUUAACAUUUAGGAGGAUGAAAAAUAGAUGUUGUCCGAUUCUCCACCCUAGCCAAUAUGCACGCUAAGAGAGUAAUUUUUUAAGCUGUAUCAAGGAAAUUUUCUAGAGUCGUUUCUUUUAGGAAAUCGGAUUAUAACCACGCCCACCUCCCAUGCAAAGGUUAUGUUGAAAACUACUAAAAAUGUUUUAAUUCAGUAACGAAAACCAACAGAAACCUUAGAUUUCAUUAUAACGAAGGUACAGAAGAGCUGCACUCAAAAUGGUAUACAAAAUUUCAAAUGGGCGUGGUUCCGCCCACUUAUGGGUAAAAAACCAUAUCUCCGAAACUACUCGACCAAUUUCAAUGAAAUUUGGUUCAUAAUAUCUUCCUAGCUUCCCAAUGAUAUGUUGUGAAAAUAGUCUACAUCGGUUCACAACCACGCCUACUUCCAUAUACCAGAACUCUGAAGUCGGUCUGAAUAGUUUACUUUACAAUGUAUAAAGUUAGUACUAGUAAAGAUAUCGGAACAGAACUUUGCAAAAAUACUGUAUUUAAAGAGUGGCAUCGCCCUUCUAAAAUUCGUCAAAUCGGUCCAUAAGUUUUCAAGACCCUAUAUAUCGAUUAUGGGUACUUCUAACAAAUUUUUUACUGAAAUUAUAGUUAAGUCUCUCAGAUAUUUUGCAGCAAUUUUUUAGGGAAUAUGUUUCUUCUAAUAAUAUGCCAAAAAUGAGUGAAAUCGGGUCAUAUUCAUCUACCUCCCAUAUACCUAAUAUUAGGGUUUUCAAACUUUCAAUGGACUGUAUUCCAUAUAUAUGCCGAAUUGUUUGUUAUAUUAAUUAAUUUAAUUUAAUAAAUUGCGAGAGUAUAAAAUGUUCGGUGACAAUCGAACUUAGCCCUUCCUUACUUGUUCAAAAUUCAAAAUGUCAAAUAUGUCGGACUCUUUUUUUACCUUUUAUACCGGUUAAUGUUUGUUAUUAAGUGAGCGUAUAGUUUUGGAUACAAUGUAGCUUAGUGGUGGAAAUGAGUGAAAUCGCAGCAUCGAUAUACUACAUAUGUACAUAUAAUGGUUUACGUUAUUCUAGUGGACUUUAUGCCGAAUAUACAUAUGUCCCGUGUCUUAUCUUAAUAAAAAUACAUAAAUAAAGUGAGAGAAAUGCAGUUACACCCGAACUAAACCGUGCCUUAUUAUUUUUUGUGUGGCUUUGUAUUUCAGACAAGUUUUGGCAACAGACUUGUUAAUAAUUCUUUUCGGAGCACAUUUUUUCCAGAUAAUGUACAGCCAACACACACGAUGGACUUUAUAGCAUAUAGCCUAAAAUAGGAAACAUGGAUGCAAUCUGCUCAGAAGCUACAACGUGUCAACCAUCUAGAGCCUUGACCAGGAGAGGGACCAUUAUGUCAAUUGUCAGUUUUAUGACUUAAUUAUGACCCCCUUCUUGAAAUAUACUAAAUUGAUCUGGCCGUUUAUAAGGGUGCCUUACGCCAAACUCCGAACAGUACAUUCCCACAUUAACUCCGUCUCUUAUUUUAGAGCCAACUGUAUUGUGCAGCUACCAUGCAUUUACGUCAACCAUAUAGUUAUAAGUGUACUCUGAAUCUUCUGUCCUAGUUGAAAAGCCGAUGCCUGUCAGACUGUCAUUACUCACCGAACUAGUUUCAUUGAAUACUUUUCUCUCUGAAAGGCGGAAAACGAAACUAUAAAUAGGUAUUGACCGUUGAACAUUCUGAUUACAAUUCUAUCUAAAGACCAAUGCGUCGGCCUACUUAGGGAUGGCAACGAUUAAUCAUUUGAUUAAAUUAAUCCAUUAUUUUCAUUCAAUUUACGAUUUAAUUGCAUAGAAACACCUUUUCUAAUUACUCGACUAUUACUCGAGUAAUUGCAAAAUAAUCGCAAGCAGCAUUUUGAAAUUUAAUACAUUUUAUGUUCAUCUAAGUUAGCUACAAGGGUCGAAAUUGCAAACGGUGUAAACAUAGUUAAAUUCUAAUAUGCCAACGUAGGUUAAUAUCAACAAAUGAAUGUCUGGUAACACUGCAUUUACAGUUAAGUCAAACGCAUUGUACGUUCAGUUGUUUGAAGAGCAAUGGCGCCAGUUAAAAGCGAAGUGUGGACAUUUUUUUAAUAAAAUAAGCAAUAACUACGUCAACUUUGCUGCAAAAAUUUAAAAUUUUCUAAUAACACUUCAAAUAUGUUGCAGCAUUUAAAAUUAAAGCAUGCAACUGUAGCCUGCAAAUUGGUGGUAAGUCGGAGCAAUCGGUAUUACAUUUUAAAUUUCUUCUAGUUAUAUAUAAAUAUAUGUGUACAAAUUAGACUCUGCAAUCUUGGAGUAAAGACAAUGUUUCCCUAAGUGAUGAUGACACUGACACCAUUUUGUGCACUCUAGUGCACACAAGAAGGAGGAAAGACAACGAUUUUACAUCUCCACAAGAUGAAUUGAGCUUUUAUUUGAAUUGUCAGGUAUUAGAACUAAGUCGAAACACUAUUUAUGCUUGGGAAGAAAUGAAAACCGUUUACCCAAACUGUACGUACUCUCAAAAAAGUAUUUUCAGCAACUGCGACCGAAAAACGCAAUCGUUUGACAACAAAAAGUUAAUCGAAAUUGCUUUUUCUUCAAACUUGGUUGAACAGACUUCUAAAUUUUCUGAAUAUAUUCAAUGAAUAUAUUUUCCUUUAUGCUAAGACAAAUUAAUUUUUAAUAUGAUAUUUUAAUUUUAUUUCCGUUUUUGUUUUUGUGUAUGUACGAACACAAUUUGAAUGUCUGAAAUAAGAAUAUAGUCUCCUAUAUUUUAUUGGUUUUAUUUUUACGCAAAGUUGCAAACAUUGGAAUUAAUCGAUUAAUCGAUUGUUUACAUUAAUUGAAAUUAAUUGCAAUUAUUUUUUUAUAUCUUGCAAUUAAUCAUUUGAUUAUUUAAUCGAUUAAAAUUGUUGCCAUCCCUAGGCCUACGGCUUUAGUGCUGUGCCAAGAGGGACGUUUGUUUCCUGGAUCUAUGUUAAUACCGAGAUGGUCACGCCUGUCUUUAGCAGAACAAUAUCGAGACAAUAUCUAAGGUCCAUGUAUUGAAAUCUCCUGCUCUUAUGUUUGAUGGGUUUAACGGUUAUCCAGCCUUUCUGAGACGAAAAGUAUAAGUCUAGUUGUCGUCGAGGUCAUAGAAAUGGGUGAUAGAUGAGUCGGGUUCGUUGGACAUGCAAAGGGACGAGUAUCAAGCGGGGCCAUAUUGCCUGAAGAACAUAUGAAUAUUCUGUAUAUCGGUUAAUUGAAAGUGAUCUAAUAGUUCCUGAGAUACAGAGUUUGAUUCAAAAGUGACCAGCGUCCCGCAUAUUGUACAAGUUGUACAGGUGUUAUUUGCUCUGAUUCUUCUUAUACCUUGGUGUCCACAUUUGAUAUGGUGUUGUGUAUGAUUAGUGUAAAAAAUUCUAACUCUAAUACAUCCUUAAGAAAAUGAAACUCUCAACUGAACCAUUCCAACAAAUGGUGUACUAACAUCAAAUAAGUUAACAUUUAGUAUAUUGCUAAGCGUAAUCCAUUUGUAUCAGGGCAAGACUCCGUCAGAAGAAAAGCGAUUUGCAAGUGGUCUUCCAAUUUUUUUGAAACUUUGGGAAAUAAUAGUCUUAUAUAUGUAACUUUUAACCCCAAAAAGAAUUUUGAAAAAUUUUCAAAAUGGCGGCCGCUACGCCAUGUUGAAAAAAAGUGCAGUGUUUUUUUCAGAAAUUAAUAUCUCCGAAACUUCUUAAUCGAUUUUAAUGAAAUUUACAGGCGAUAUAAUUAAUAGUACGUAGUUUAAUGUUAUAUUAUGACCAAAAAAAAAUUUCCAAAUUUUGACCAAACAAAUGUCAAAAAAAUUUUUUGAGUUAACUUUUAGUUAAUUUGGCCGCUUUUUUAACUUUCUAAUAAAAAGUUUUCGAUUCCUUAUGAUUCCACCUUUCUUUUAAAAAAAAUAAAAGUUUGGAGACUUUAAUAGUUUUCGAGAUAUUGAGAUGUUAGUGGGAGCGCGCACCGCGAUUUCUAUGUACAGCGUUGCCGUAUCGUUAAACGUGCACCAACCUGAAUUAGCUACCCUGCACAUUGAACGCGUAUAACAUAACGCUGUUUGGCUCGCACCUACAUCGUUAGAGAUUUAUAAAAAAAUAGGUAAGUUUAAAUAGAUUUUAAGUUGAAUAGAUUUUAAGUUGAACGGCACCUAAAGCAAUAUUUGGGUUUCCACAAUGCCACGAUAUAAAUGCUUUAAUCCUUUUAAAAAGCAGCGACAUGCUUUAGUUGAUAAAACAAAUGCCCGCCCUGUUUCAAAAGAAAUAGUUGAAACAUUUUGAAUUGAUAAUAAUAAUUGAAUAAUUUUUGUUUACGAAAGUGAAAAAGAAAUUGAAGAUUUAAUAAAAAUUUUGAGAAUAUUAAGUAUUUCACCAAUUGUUAGUUCACAAAUAAAAUUAUCUAUCAAUUGAAAAUAUAAAUGAAAUGAAAUGAAAUUUUUUAUUAGAAAGUUAAAAAAAAGUGGCCAAAUUAACUAAAAGUUAACUCAAAAAUUUUUUUUGACAUUUGUUUGGUCAAAAUUUGGAAAUUUUUUUUUGGUCAUAAUAUAACAUUAAACUACGUACUAUUAAUUAUAUCGCCUGUAAAUUUCAUUAAAAUCGAUUAAGAAGUUUCGGAGAUAUUAAUUUCUGAAAAAAAUACUGCACAUUUUUUCAACAUGGCGUAGCGGCCGCCAUUUUGAAAAUGUUUUAAAAUUCUUUUUGGGGUUAAAAGUUACUUAUAUAAGACUAUUAUUUCCCAAAGUUUCAAAAAAAUCGGAAGACCACUUGCAAAUCGCUUUUCUUCUGACGGAGUCUUGCCCAUCAAUUAAAUCAAUAUUUUAUUUGUAUAUUAUAAAAUCAAAGUUUCUGUA